AGGGUUACGAGUCUAAAGAUAAUGCCCAAUGGAAUUACAGAAGUGUGUUCCUCAGAUGGGUCCAAGAAAAGACAUUGAUUUUCCAUUUGUUCAGCAUUUUCUUGUGGUAAAGAGAUGAGUGCUGGGGUGACGGUGACAAAAAACGAGGUAGAAGAGUGCUGCAAGUGCUGAAGAACUAACUGACAAACUGUUUAAAGCUUAUUCUUCAAAGAGCAUGAUAAACCUGCCUCCCUGUACUCAGCUUCUCUACCUCUCAGGGCUGCUCUUCACUCAUAACUUCAAAUCCCAUGGAUACUGCUUUCUUCUUUCCAUCUGAAGUUUCUCCACUCCUGUCUUCCCUACAGCUUAUCUCAGAGGACCCCCUUGGGGCCAGUUAAAUCAUCGUGCAGGAUGGAACCUUCUUUUGUCAUUAUCUUCCUGCCAAGUCAUGUCAUGUUAUGAGUCAGAAACCUGUUUGGUCUUGCAGAUGGGAUUUUGGUGUCUGAAUCCUACCAUUCAUUCCUUCUCUACUCAGGGGUUCCCCUGCUAAGGGAAGAUACCAGAAAGGAAAAGAGCCAAAUGGAAAACAAAGCACUAUUUGUAUUAAGCAUUACCUUGUCUACCACACGAUGGUAAAAAUUGCCUUGGAAAAUGUGGCUGAAGCUGAGGAUGUUCAGUGAGGCUUCCAGCUUCUUCCCCCUGAGUCUGUCCAAACAGUCUUCUCAGGUGGAGAGUCUGGAAUGGAGGACGGGGGAGGGAAGCCAGGCCUGACUCAAGGGCAUGAGCCCUGCCAGGUGGAAAACACCCAGUAUCAUCUGAGAAGCUAGACCCACUUAUGGAACCAACUAGUUGGAAGAAAGGAAGCAGAAGCGAAGAAGACAAACAUUGAUCCUGACCAUGAAAUGUGACCCUCUUAGAGCCUCACUGUCUAACAUGGGAGCCACUAGCCACAUGUGGCCACUGAAUGCUUGAAAACAUGGCAAGUGUGAAGUGAGAUCUCUCGUUAAGUGUAUAAUACAAACUUGAUUUUGAAGACAGUACAAAAGAAUGUAAAGUACCUUAUUAAUAUUUUGUAUAUUGCUUAUUUGUUUAAAUGAUAAUAUUUUAGAUAUAUUGGGUAAAA